rnacentral:rRNA from 1 species
GAUGAACGCUGGCGGCGUGCCUAAUACAUGCAAGUCGAGCGAACAGACGAGGAGCUUGCUCCUUGGACGUUAGCGGCGGACGGGUGAGUAACACGUAGGUAACCUACCUAUAAGACUGGGAUAACUUCGGGAAACCGGAGCUAAUACCGGAUAAGAUUUCGAACCGCAUGGUUCGAUAGUGAAAGAUGGCUUUGCUAUCACUUAUAGAUGGACCUGCGCCGUAUUAGCUAGUUGGUAAGGUAACGGCUUAUCAAGGCAACGAUACGUAGCCGACCUGAGAGGGUGUUCGGCCACCCUGGAACUUGGGCGCGGUCCAGACUCCUACGGGAGGCAGCAGUAGCGACUCUUCCGCAAUGGGCGAAAGCCUGACGGAGCGACGCCGCGUGAGUGAUGAAGGUCUUCGGAUCGUAAAACUCUCUUAUUAGGGAUGAACAAACUUGUAAGUUACUGUACACGGCUUGACGGUACCUAAUCAGAAAGCCACGGCUAACUACGUG